UGCCAUUGCGACAAAAAAUAACAUUGUAAAAUGUGCACAGAUAUUUAAUUAACUGGACAUAAAAAUAAGAAAACAUCAAAGCUGUAAAUUUUUAUUAGUGCUUAAUGUGAGAUUCUACGAUAAAAUACGUUUAGAUCUUAGCAAAAGAUUUUGGCGAUAUCUAUUGAAUUAAUUUUAAAUUGUUCACAGGGUCGAAAAGGACUGGUCUUCAAAGAAGCCAAGAGACACAAUUUUAGAUGGACACUCUGUACUUCCAACACAAUCUAUCUAUCUGUGAUGAGAAUGCUCAAUCAUAUUAUCAAAUUAGAUUAGAUGAUGGAAUCAAUUUCGUUGGGGUGGAGAAUCCAUACAAGAUGAUCCAAAGUCUGGUAGUCCUCUUGAGGUCGAAGAAAUGAAGUUUCAUUGCUGCAAGGGAAGUGCACAGAUACGCCGAUGAACAAAGUGUCCGCCAGAUGGAUUGGCAAGCUCUUCACACCAGAAUAGCCACCUGUCAGAAAUUGGGAGGAUUUAAAACAAGCAGGAAAAUUGAUGGCAACGAUUUUCUGGGAUUAAUUAUACUGUCUUUAUUUGGGCAUUUUACGGAGGAACAACUGAUGAAACAAAAAACAAAUUUUAUAGGCAGACGAUAAAUACGCAAGAUCUAGUCAUUUCUUACCGAUUUGGAAGGUUAAACAGGGUCAAUAAUGCCGUUUCCGUGAUAACAGCUACACUUUUACCUUAUAACAAUAGAAC